rnacentral:lncRNA from 1 species
CUCCCCUAGGCCCCACCUUCAGCAUUUGGGAUUACAAUUCCACAUGAGUUUCACAGGGACACACAGCCAAACCAUAUUAUUCUGACCCUGAUACCCCAGAAUCUCAUGUUUUUCUCACAGAGCAAAAUACAAUCAUGCCUUUUCAAAAUUUUCCAGAAGUCUUAACUCAUUCCAAAUGUAAAAACUUCAAAGUCUCAUCUGAGACAAGGCUACCUUCUCUUCUGCCUAUGAGUCCCUGAAUUCAAAAGGGAUUUCUUUUCUUUCAAGGUGCAAUGAUAGUACAGGCAUUGGGUAAGAUUUCUCAAUCCAAAGGGAAUAAAUUUCCCAGAAAAAUAACACAAAUGCAAGUCCAAGCCCAGGAGGACAGUAUUCACUCAAUCUUAAAGCUCCAUAAUCAUCAAGAGAACUCACUAUCAUGCAGACAGCAUUAAGGAGAUAGUGUUUAACCAUUUGGGAAGGAUCCACCCCCCAUCCUCAUCUUUUGACCCCACUCCCAAAAUAAUCUCCACCAUUCUCCCCACACCCGUACCUCCAACCCCCAUGCUUCACCAUGAUUAAAUCACCUUCCACCAGGUCCCAACUUUCACAUUCCCCAUUACAAUUCCACAUGAGUAUCGGUAGGGACACAGAACCAAAUCGUAUUAUUCUGACCCUAGUUCCCCCAAAUCUCAUAUCUUUGACACACUGCAAAAUACAAUGAUGCCUUCUCUACAGUCCCCCAAAGUCUUAAGUCAUUCCAGCCUUUACUGAAGUAUCCAAAGCCCAAAGUCUUAUCUGACACAAGGCUGCAGUCCCUUCUGCCUCUGAGCCUCUGAAAUACAAAGUAAGUUAAUUACUUUCAAGGUACAAUGAUUGUACAGGCAUUGGGUAUGAAUUCCCAGCCAAAAGAAAAAACUUUGCCAGAAAGAAGCACAAAAUAUAGAUGAGACUUACAGAUCCGAUGCAAGUCAAAAACCCAGCAGGCCAGUCAUUCCAUUGUACAGCUCCAAAUCAUCACUUUUCAAUCCAAAUCCCACAUCCAGAACACAGGGGUGUGAUGGCUGGGCUCCCAAGGCCUUGGGUAGCUCUGCACCUGUGGCUUUGCAGGGUCUUUCCCCCACAGCUGCCCUCAUGGGCUGGGCUAGUGUUGAGCACUUGUAGCUUUCCACACUGAGGGUGCAAGCUGUUGGUAGGUCUAUGAAUCUGGGUUUGCAGAAUGGUGCCUCCAUGUGUGGGGGUUCCAACUCUAUAUGUUCCUUCUGUAAUGCCCUAGAAAAGCUUUCCCAUGAGGGUCUGCCUCUUGGAAAAGCUUCUGCCUGGAAACCCAGGUUUUUCUGUACAUGCUCUGGAGUCUAGACGAAGGCUCCCAAGGCUCUCCUCUUUUGCUCUGUGCACCUGCUGGCUUAACACUAUGUAGAAGCCACCAAGGCUUGCAUCUUGUACCCCUGAAGCAGUGACCCAAGCUGUGCCUGUGCAUCUUUCAGCCAUGGCUGGAGCUGGAGCUGCAGGGAUGCAGGCAGCAGUGUGCUGUGGCUGAGCACAGCAGUGGAGCCUUGCAGCUGGCCCAGGAGAACAUUCUUCUCUCUCAGGCCUUAGGGCCUGUGACAGCAAGGGCUGCUGCAAAGGUCUCUGAAAUGCCUUCAAGGCCUUUUUCCCAUUGUCUUGGCUAUUAGCACUGGACUCCAUUUUAUACAAAUUUCUAAAGCUCUCUUAGAUUUUCCCACUGAAAAUCAGGUUUUCUUUUUGACCACUUGGCCAGGCUGCAAAUUUUCCAAACUUUUAAGUUCUGCUUCUCGUUUAAAUAUAAGUUUCUACUUGAGGUCAUUUAUUUGGUCACACCGAAGACCACAGGCUUUUGGACACAGACAGGAUACCUCUUGAGCUUUGCUGCCAAAAGUUCAUGCCUAUGAUUUAGAUACACCCUAAAUCAUCACCCUCAAGUUCAAAGUUUCAUAGGUCUCCAGGUUAGGGGCAUCAUGCAGCGACGUUCUUUGCUAAGGCAAAACCAAAGUAACCUUGGCUCCUCUUUUCAGUAAAUUCCUCAUUUUCAUCUGAGACCUUGUAAGCCUGGCCUUCACUGUCCAUCCUUCUGUCACCCUUUUAAUUAUAACUAUUUAACAAGUCUCUACAAUGGUCAAAACUUCCCUUCAUCUUCCUGACUUCUUCCAAGGCCUCCAAACUUUCCAACCUCUGGCUGUUACCCUCUUGUGAUCCUGCUUUUACAUUUUCAUCCAUCCUUAUUGCAGCCUAUCAAUGCAGUAAAAAGAAGAAAUGCCCAUUUUCAGGGGAAAAAUUCACAAAGGGAUCCGAUAUCUGCAUGAAGAGAAGCUGAGUGCUGAUUGCCAAGGCAAUAAGAAAAAGGCUUUGAAGGCAUUUCAUAGCUCCACUUCCAAGCACUAAUUUUCUGUAAGAUCAUAAAGAAAAGAUGUUGAACUGGCUCAUGGUUCUGCAGGCUUUAAAGGAAUCAUAGAGGCCUCUGCUUCUGGGAGGAAUCGGGAAGCCUCCCAAUCAUACCAGAAGACCAAGCGGCAAUGGGAUGUUUCAUAUGGUAGAAGUAGGAGCAAGACAGAAGGAGGAAAGAGGUAUCACACCCUGUUAUACAACCAGAUCUCAUGACAACUCACUAUGACAAAAUCAGCAUCAAGAAGAUGAUGCUUAAUCAUUGUUGAAAGAUCUGUCCCCCCCAACACCCCCACCCCACCACUGUUUCCAGGUAGAAGCCUGUUGCAGAGCCAGAGCCUCUUGGAAAACCUCUACUAGGGCAGUGCAGAAGGAAAAUAUGGGUUUGGAGCCCCCACACAGGAGGUUACCAUCCUCCAGACCCCAGAUUUAUAGACCCACCAACAGCUCGCACCCUCAGUAUGGAAAAGCUACAGGCACUCAACACCAGCCCAACCCAUGAGAGCCGCCAAGGUACUAAACCCUGCAAAGCCACAGGUGCACCGCCCUAGUAGAGGUUUUCCAUGAGGCUCUGCCUCUGCAGGAGGCUACUCCCACAUCCUACCACCCACCACCCUCUCACCAGCUUACUGCCAACCUACUCCUCCCCACCCUACCCACUUCUUUUUCCUUCUACCCGCAACCCCCUCCCAUCCAUGAUUCAAUCACCUCCCACCAGGCCCCACCUCCAACGUUCAGGAAUACAAUUUCCCAUGAUCUUUUGUAGGAAAACACCACCAAACCAUAUUACUCUGACCCUGACACCCCUGAAUCUCAUGUCCUUCUCACAGAGUAAAAUACAAACAAGCCUUUUCAGAAGUUUCCAAAAGUCUUAACUCAUUCCAGCAGUAACUCAAAUAUAAAAAAGAUUAAAGUCUCAAACAACACGAGGCUGCAGUCCCUUCUGCUUCUGAGUCCCUGAAUGUAAAAGGGAGUGCUUCUCUUUCACGAUACAAUGAUGGUACAGGCAUUGGGUAAGCUUUCUCAGUCCAAUGGGAAGAAAUUUUCCAGAAAAAUAACACAAUUGGGACACAGGUCCAAUGCAAGCCCAAAAGCCAGGAGAGUAUGUACGCAUUCAUCACGAGAACUCACUUUCACACAGACAGCAUUAAGGAGAUACUGUUUAACCAUUUGUGAAAGAUCUGCCCCCCCAGCCCCAUCUUUCACCCCCACCCCCAGCAUAAACCCCCCAAACUUACCACACCCUCACUUCCAAUCCCAACUGUCCGCUGUGAUUAAAUCACCAUCUACCAAGCACCACUUUUAACAUUCCCCAUCACAAUUCUACAUGAGUUUUGGUUGGGGCACAGAGACAAAUCAUAUAGUUCUGCCCCUGGCCUUCCAAAUCUCAUGUUACUUUCACUUUGCAAAAUACAGUGAUGUCUUCUCUACAGUCCCCCGAAGUCUUAACUCAUUCCAGCAUUUACUCAAAUGUCCAAAGCCCAAAGUCUCAUCUGAGACAAGGCUGCAGUCCCUUCUAUCCCUGAGCCUCUGAAAUACAAAGCAAGUUAACUACUUUCAAGGUACAAUGCUUGUCCAGGCAUUGGGUAAGCAGUCCCAGCCAAAAGGAAGAAAUUUGCCAGAAAGAAGCACAAAACACAGAUGGGACUUACAGACCCCAUGCAAGUCAAAAACCCAGCAGGCCAGUCAUUCCAUCGUAGAGCUCCAAGUCAUAUUUUUUGAAUCUACAUCCCACAUCCAGAGAAGAGGGUGGUUUAAUGGCUGGUCUCCCAAAGCCUUGGGCAGCUCAGCACCUGUGGUAUGGCAAGGUCUUUCCCCAAAGCUGCCCUCAUGGGCUGGGCUGCUGUUGAGUGCCAGUAGCUUUUCAACACUAAGGGUGCAAGCUGUUGGUGGGUCUAUGAAUCUGGGGUCUGGAGAAUGGUGCCUCCCAGUGUGGGGGCUCCCACCGUAUAUGUUCCUUCUAUACCAUCCUUGUAGAGGUUUACCACGAGGCUCUGUCUGUUGGAAAAGCUUCACCUGGAAACCCAGGAUUUUCCAUACAUACUCUGGAGUCUAGAAGAUGAAGACUCCGAAGUUUCUCGUCUUGUGCUCUGUGUACCUGCUGACUUAACACUAUGUGGAAGCCACCAAGGCUUGGAGCUUGCACCCCUGAAGUAGUGACCCAAGCUGUACCUGUGCAUCUUUCAGCCAUGGCUGCAGCAGGAGCUACAGGGAUGUAGGCAGCAUUGUCCUGAGGCUACACACAGCAGGGGACCAUGGGGCUGGGCCAGGAAACCAUUCUGUCCUAGAAAACCAUUCUUCUGUCCUAGGCUUCAGGGCCUGUACAGCAAGGGCUGCUGCAAAGGUCUCUGAAAUGCCUUCAAGGCCUUUUCCCUGUUGUCUUGGCUAUUAGCACUGGGCUCCAUUUUAUGCAAGCUUCUGAAGCUGUCUUGAAUUUUCCCACUGAAAAUCAGGUUUUCUUUUUGACCACUUGACCAGGCUGCAAAUUUUUCAAACUUUUAAGCUCUGCUUCUCAUUUAAAUAUGUUUCUAACUGAGGUCAUUUAUUUGGUCACAUAGAAGACCAGGACACAGACAGGACACCUCUUGAGCUUUGCUGCCAAAAGUUCAUUCUGCCGGAUACACCCGAAACAUCACCCUCAAGUUCAAAGUUUCACAGAUCUCCAGGUUAGGGGCAUCAUGCAGUGACAUUCUUUGCUAAAGCAAAACAAAUGUAACCUUGGCUCCUGUUCCCAGUAAACUCCUCAUUUUCAUCUGAGACCUUCUAAGCCUGGCCUUUACUGUCCAUCCUUCUGUCACCCUUUUAAUUAUAACUAUUUAACAAGUCUCUACAAUGGUCCAGACUUUCCCUCAUCUUCCUGUCUUCUUCCAAGUCCUCCAAACUCUCCAACCUCUGGCUGUUAGACAAUUCUCAACCUGCUUCUACAUUUUCAGCUCUCUUUGUUGCAGCCUGUCAGUGUGGUAAAAGAAGAAAAGUCCAUUCACAGGGGGAAAAUUCAUGCAGGCUACAGAUAUUUGCAUGAAAAGAAGCUGAGAGCUGAUUACCAAGACAAGAAGGAAAAGACCUUGAAGGCAUUUCAUACCUCCACUUCAGAGCACUAAUUUUCUGUAAGAUCAUAAAGAAAAGAUGUUGAACUGGCUCAUGGCUCUGCAGGCUUUAAAGGAAUCAUAGAGGCUCCUGCUCCUAGGAGGAAUCAUGAAGCCUCCCAAUCAUACCAGAAGACCAAGCAGCAAUGGGCUAUUUUAUAUGGCAGAAGUAGGAGCAAGACAGAGAAAGGAGAAGGUUCCACACUGUUAUACAAUGAGAUCUCAUUGGAACUCAGUAUCACAAGGUCAGCAUCAAGAAGAUGGUGCUUAACCACUGGUGAAGGAUCUGCCCCCGCAACCCCCACCUCCACCUCCCACUGUUUCCAGGCAGAAGCCUGCUGCAGAGGCAGAGCCAGAUUCAUAGACCCACCAACAGCUUGCACCCCCACUGUGGAAAAGCUACAGGCACUCAACAGUAGCCCAGUCCUUGAGAGCAGCCGUGGGGGCUAAAACUUGCAAAGCCACAGGUGCACUGCCCUAACACAGGUUGUCCAUGAGGCUGUGCCUCUGCA